GACAGCAGUCGCCGCGGUAAUACGUAGGGCGCAAGCGUUAUCCGGAAUUAUUGGGCGUAAAGAGCUCGUAGGCGGUUUGUCGCGUCUGCCGUGAAAGUCCGGGGCUCAACCCCGGAUCUGCGGUGGGUACGGGCAGACUAGAGUGAUGUAGGGGAGACUGGAAUUCCUGGUGUAGCGGUGAAAUGCGCAGAUAUCAGGAGGAACACCGAUGGCGAAGGCAGGUCUCUGGGCAUUAACUGACGCUGAGGAGCGAAAGCAUGGGGAGCGAACAGGAUUAGAUACCCCCGUAGUCCCUGUCUCUUAUAA
rnacentral:rRNA from 1 species